CAGUCGAGGGGCAGCAUCAUCAAAGCUUGCUUUGAUGGAUGGCGACCGGCGCACGGGUGAGUAACACGUAUCCAACCUGCCGACAACACUGGGAUAGCCUUUCGAAAGAAAGAUUAAUACCGGAUGGCAUAGUUUUUCCGCAUGGGAUAAUUAUUAAAGAAUUUCGGUUGUCGAUGGGGAUGCGUUCCAUUAGGCAGUUGGCGGGGUAACGGCCCACCAAACCAACGAUGGAUAGGGGUUCUGAGAGGAAGGUCCCCCACAUUGGAACUGAGACACGGUCCAAACUCCUACGGGAGGCAGCAGUGAGGAAUAUUGGUCAAUGGACGAGAGUCUGAACCAGCCAAGUAGCGUGAAGGAUGACUGCCCUAUGGGUUGUAAACUUCUUUUAUACGGGAAUAAAGUUAGCCACGUGUGGCUUUUUGUAUGUACCGUAUGAAUAAGGAUCGGCUAACUCCGUGCCAGCAGCCGCGGUAAUACGGAGGAUCCGAGCGUUAUCCGGAUUUAUUGGGUUUAAAGGGA
rnacentral:rRNA from 1 species